rnacentral:lncRNA from 1 species
AGCAUGUCGUAGCGGAGACAGCCAGGCUUCAGUCUUGGCAGAAGUCAGUAGCGGGGGACCAGGACUGACAGGAACUGAAGAACUUCUUGGCUGUGCCUCUCUCAACAAAGCAGAGAUCAGCAAAGACAGGAGACCAAGAAGCAUUGUAGAGCUAGCUCUACAAGCCAGCCCCUGGACUCUGCAUAGAGAAUGGCGCUGCCUACACUGGGCUGAGUUGUCUACAUCCAUUAACAACCAAGAUGAUAAUACUGGCCAGUUUUGUGUGAACUUGACACAGCUGGAGUUAUCACAGAGAAAGGAGCUUCAGUUGAGGAAAUGCCUCCAUGAGAUCCAGCUGUAAGGUAUUUUCUCAAUUAGUGAUCAAGAGGGGAGGUCCCCUUGUGGGUGGUGCCAUCUCUGGGCUGGUAGUCUUAGUUCUAUAAGAGAGCAGGCUGAGAAAGCCAGGGGAAGCAAGCCAGCAAAGAACAUCUCUCCAUGGCCUCUGCAUCAGCUCCUGCUUUCUGACCUGCUUGAGUUCCAGUCCUGACUUCCUUGGUGAUGAACAGCAGCAUGGAAGUGUGGGCUGAAUUAACCCUUUCCUCCCCAACUGCUUCUUGGUCAUGAUGUUUUGUCCAGGAAUAGAAACCCUGACUAAGACGACAAUUCCCACAGACUAAUCUGAUUUAGGUGAGUCCUCUCAAAUUUGGGGGGGGGGGUCUACUUUUGUUAAUUCCUCCCUUAUUUUCUGAGACAGGGUAUCUUCUUAAACCUGGAGCUCACCCUUCUAAUCAGACUGGCUGGCCAGAGAGCUUCAGGAUCUUCCUCAUCCUCAUCUUCUCCAGUACUGGGUUUCAGGUGCACUGGCCGAGCUGGCUUUGUACAUGGGUGCUGGGGAGCUCUUGUCUUUAUGCUACUGCAGUAGAUACUAUACCUACUAGGCUACCUCCCCAGCACUUAGCUGUCUGCUUUGUGUGUGUGUGUGUGUGUGUGUGUGUGUGUGUGUUGAGGACUUAACUAAGGUCUUGUUUGUGCUAGGCAAAGUUUGUUCAACUGAGCCAUAUAACCAGCCAGUUCCUGUUUGAAUUUAACCAGUUAGUGGUGUUUGUUAGAGCAUCUUCAGGGAACUAGCAUGAUACCAAGGGCACAGUGGUAACUAUGACCAAGGCACUGUACACGAAUCUGUAUUUUCCCAUUACUGAAAUUCCUUGCUGGUGAGGUGGGUCCCUUGAUACCCUCUGGCAGUUAGUGCCUAGGGCUGCUAUGGGAAUUGACAUUAUCUGACAAGAUCCUAGUAUGAGUGACAGUUCUGAAGUACUGUAGUAAGACGCAGAGGGAAUUCCUCUGGGGCAGAGGAAAUUCUCUUCCUUUUCACUCCUCUCCUUUUUCUCCCCUCUCUUUCCCUCCCCCUUCUUUUCUCUUCUCUUCUUUUCUCUCCAUCCUUUUCUCCCCAUCUCCUCCCCUCCCCUCUCUUUCCCCCUUCUUUCUUCCCUCUCCUCUCCUUUCCUUCCUCCCCUUACUGAGGGGAGAGGCGUCAUUCACCAUAUAAACACUGUGAUAAUACAUUAAUAUGAACUUUACAGUUAAAAAUAAAGGAAUUUGUUCUUUGUGUUCUCAGUGCCAGAAAUCUGAAGUUGAGAUAUCAACAGAGCCAGUCCCUUCUGGAUACACAAGGCAGCAGUCAUGGACGCCUCUUUACCGGCCUUUGGUGCUCAGUCAUCCUGGCAGCUCUUGGUUCAUGGAUUUACCUUUUCAGUGCCUGUAGGCUGCAAGGGCAGUUUACUCUGUGUCUGUGACUGUGGGUUCAGCGUAUACCAAAUAUGAUCUCAUCACGAGUUACUUUGUAUCUGUGAAGGUGAAUUGGGUAUUAAUGUACAUGUUGUAUGAGUUAGGAAUUGGCUAUGUCUUCUAUAUAUUACAUAUGUAAUUAUGUAUGAUAUACAUAUACUUUUCUUCAUGUUCUAAGAUCGCACCCACCUUUCAGCUGCACCCUAUGUAUGUACUUGCAUGGAUAUUUUCAUAAUAUAUGAUGGCGUAACCGGAGUCAGCAGGUCCCCAUAUCCUGCCCCCAGCUUUACAGUGAGGACCUCAGAGUCUGAAUUUAACUUUAUGUUAUAAUUCUCUUCUGGAAGUGAGGCCUCAACUUUUCUCGGUAGGGGAUAUCAGAUUCAGCUUCUUUGAAAGUCUCCCUGAGUCAGAAUGGAAAUGUGGAUAAGCUGGCUGGGAGCUGAGGCCUUCUGAGAGCAGACACAAUCAUCAGUGACCAUUGACCAGACCUAUCCCAGUGACCUCCAAGGCUCUUCCAAGUGCCUUCUUUUAACACACAACUGACAGGGAGAUUAGAAGCUGAAUGCUUGCUUUGCUU